UUAACUGAAACCAAAAUAGAGGUAUAUUAUUGUUAAUAAUAAAAUUGAAGUUAAUUAUUCCAGUUAAG
rnacentral:tRNA from 2 species